CAUCACUACGCUAGAUGCAUAUCAAUAAGCGGAGGAAAAGAAACUAACAAGGAUUCCCUUAGUAACGGCGAGUGAAGCGGGAAGAGCUCAAAUUUGAAAUCUUCAAGGUUUACCUUGACGAAUUGUAGUUUAAAGAAGUGUUUUCUGUUGGAGUUUUGGUAAAAGUUCUUUGGAAUAGGACAUCAUAGAGGGUGAGAAUCCCGUAUUUGACCAUUAUUUCCAGCUGUGUGAUACACUUUCAAAGAGUCGGAUUGUUUGGGAAUGCAGUCCAAAAUGGGUGGUAAAUUUCAUCUAAAGCUAAAUAUUGGCGAGAGACCGAUAGCGAACAAGUACCGUGAGGGAAAGAUGAAAAGAACUUUGAAAAGAGAGUUAAACAGUACGUGAAGUUGUCAAAAGGGAAGCGUUUGACACCAGUGUUGUUUUCUCGAAAAUCAAUUAAAAAUGAUGGGAUUUUGUGUUGUAUUGACUUUAUCAGCUUUCUGCACUUUUUUCUUAUCUUUUUUAAUGCACUUUUCGUUUAACAAGUCAACAUCAAUUUCUUUUGUUGUAAAAGAGUCAUUGGAAGGUGGCUUUUUCUUCGGAAAAAGUGUUUAUAGCCUUUGGCUUCUGCAAUCGGAGAGAUUGAGGUCUGCAGCGUAGAUCCUUCGGGGUUAGAUACAUUUGUGCUAAGCUAUAGUUCUUUAUAGACAACUUGUUGACUAUAAUCAAUCCUGUAACUUACUCGCUUAUGCUAUUUUACCUACGCUUAGGAUGUUGACGAGACUGUCGAUCUC
rnacentral:rRNA from 1 species